UACGUAGGGAGCAAGCGUUGUCCGGAAUCAUUGGGCGUAAAGCGCGCGUAGGUGGCCCUGUAAGUCCGUUGUGAAAGUCAAAGGCUCAACCUUUGAAAGCCGAUGGAUACUGCAGGGCUGGAGUCCGGAAGAGGCGAGUGGAAUUCCUGGUGUAGCGGUGAAAUGCGCAGAUAUCAGGAGGAACACCAGCGGCGAAGGCGGCGCUCUGGGCCGGUACUGACGCUGAGGAGCGAAAGCGUGGGUAGCAAACAGG
rnacentral:rRNA from 1 species